CAGUCGCCGCGGUAAUACGAAGGGUGCAAGCGUUAAUCGGAAUUACUGGGCGUAAAGCGUGCGUAGGCGGUUUGUUAAGUCUGCUGUGAAAUCCCCGGGCUCAACCUGGGAAUGGCAGUGGAUACUGGCGAGCUAGAGUGUGUCAGAGGAUGGUGGAAUUCCCGGUGUAGCGGUGAAAUGCGUAGAGAUCGGGAGGAACAUCAGUGGCGAAGGCGGCCAUCUGGGACAACACUGACGCUGAGGCACGAAAGCGUGGGGAGCAAACAGGAUUAGAUACCCCCGUAGUCCCUGUCUCUUAUAC
rnacentral:rRNA from 1 species